UACGAAGGGUGCAAACGUUGUUCGGAAUUACUGGGCGUAAAGGGCGCGUAGGCGGCCUCUUAAGUCGAACGUGAAAUCCCCGGGCUCAACCCGGGAACUGCGUCCGAUACUGGGGGGCUUGAAUCCGGGAGAGGGAUGUGGAAUUCCAGGUGUAGCGGUGAAAUGCGUAGAUAUCUGGAGGAACACCGGUGGCGAAGGCGGCAUCCUGGACCGGUAUUGACGCUGAGGCGCGAAAGCCAGGGGAGCAAACGGG
rnacentral:rRNA from 1 species